UCAAACUAAAAAUUAAAACCCAAACUCCAAAAUGGCUACCCACAAAAUGUGUGUCAUCCUUGGGCUUGUUGCUCUUGCACAUGCAGCAUAUUCUGCAGCUCAACAUCGCACAUACCUGAGACUGACUGAGCAGGAUUUCAGCAUGCUCCCUCAUGAUAUAUUUCUGCAGUGCAUAUUUGGGCUCCUCCUGACUUGCUAUGGUGUGGUCAAUGUUGCUGGGAACUUCAAGGAAAUCAAAGCCAGUGCAGAGCAGGACACAAAGACUUGGGAGAUGCUGAGCAAUCGCCAGGGAUUCAACAUUUUCCACCAUCGCGGGAAAGCAUUAUUCAACGAAACAUGAAUCAUUUUUACUCUGUCAUUUGAUCAUUCCAAUUCAUCAUCUUCUCAUUUCAUCCAAACUUGUCUGUAAUACCUAGAUCCAUAUUUUAGAGAUGAUUUCUCAUUGUUCCUUGUUCAUUAUUUUAAUUGUGUAUUUGCUUGUGUAAAGCACCAAGUUGAUCCCCCUGAUGGCCUGAGUGGGUCAGUGGGAGGUGUGGUGUAUUGACUGAAAAGUGGGUCAGUGGGAGGUGUGGUGUACUGACUGAAAAGUGGGUCAGUGGGAGGUGUGGUGUACUGACUGAAAAGUGGGUCAGUGGGAGGUGUAGUGUACUGACUGAAAAGUGGGACAGGGGAGGUGUAGUGUAUUGACUGAAAAGUGGGACAGGGGACGUCCAAGUAACGGCACGUUUCCAACUUGUGCACUGGUGUUGUCUUCUGUUUCUUCUUUUUUUUUUACUUCAGUGUUUCUGUUGUAAUAGAUCUUUUCCCUGGUGAAAUGUGACCAUUAUGGCAUCGAGUUGCUUAAUACAGCUCUUCAUUGUUAUCCUUUAUCUCUUUUCUGUUGCCGAGAAAUUGACCUUUCCUUAACAUUAUCCCUUAGAUCUGACUAUGGGGGGGUUUUCAUGCUCUGCUCUGCCAAUUUGGUAUAAAUCAAAGUAGUUGUUAUGAGUUGGAUGUCCCUCGGGUGAAAUUAAGUUUAUGUGUUAGAAUUAACACUGAACCCUUUCCGUAUAUCAAUGAUUGUAGUCUCUGCCAAAAUAAAUUUUUCAAGGCAUUGCUUGCG
rnacentral:misc_RNA from 1 species